rnacentral:rRNA from 1 species
UACGGAGGGUGCGAGCGUUAUCCGGAAUGAUUGGGCGUAAAGCGUUCGCAGGUGGCUGUUCAAGUCUGCUGUCAAAGACCGGGGCUUAACCCUAGAAAGGCAGUGGAAACUGAACGGCUGGAGUGCAGUAGGGGUAGAGGGAAUUCCCAGUGUAGCGGUGAAAUGCGUAGAGAUUGGGAAGAACACCGGUGGCGAAAGCGCUCUGCUGGACUGCAACUGACACUGAGGGACGAAAGCUAGGGGAGCGAAAGGG